GGUAUAUUCAAAAUACAAAUCAUUAUAGUGAAAUACCUUACAAUUUUGCAAGUAUAUCUUAGCCUGCAUGUUAGCAAACAACCCUUCAUAAAAGCUGAUAAAUAUAUUAAGAGACGAUUACGAAUUUAUGAUGGAAUAUGGAUACAAAUCUUAUGUAAUAGACUCAAAUGCGGAACUGUACAGUUUAAGUCAUUAACAAUGGAAUAACCGGAAGAUAGAGAUACCGCCCGCUAUAUGUUGACGAUUGGAGAAAAUAUGUCUUAUUAAGGAGUUGAUAAUAUCGGAUAUACAGGAUGUUUUUUCAAAUGAUGUGUGGAGUGAGUCAAUGCGAAUAGGAGAAACUUGGAACAAUUAGUUGUACCGUUUUCACGAAGAAAAUUUGUUAAUAACAAAAAAAAGGAAACAAGAUGAGAAAGAUAAUAAUAAAUUAAUUAACAUUAAUAAUCCUUUGUUAUCAUCAGAUCCCCUAUGGAGCGAAGCGUGUACCCUGUUUACUUCCCUUAUGGCCUUAUAAUGGCUUAAUGGGGAGUAGAGAAGCCGUGAAUGACCAUGUAGUGGACGCCACUGUGGAAUAAAAAACAGAAGCGAUGAUAGGCCGUUAUUACUAUAACGACCUAUCGACUCUUCAUCAUUAUGAAGAGAUGAAGAGUCAAUUCCUGGGAUUUGUUCAGAGCAAUGGCCUCACAGAACCCCAGAUAUCAAUCCACUUGAUCUCAAUGAUUAAAUAUGCUUUGUUCUAGUGCAAAGUUGGACACUAACCAGAUUCUAUCCUUCAAAAGGUCAUGAAUGAUCUAAAGUGAGCUAACGCUAAUAGGCUUCGAUAAGAAAAUUCAGAAAAUGUAUUUUGUUUAUGUUCACGAAAUCCCAGGAAGGUCAUUUACCUAUCAACUUCAAGAGUAACUGAAUGAAUUGAUUGUUUUCAUUGAACUUCAUCAUACUGUAUUCCGUUGAUAGAGCGAAAGAGAGGAACAUUUUAAUUAUUGUGUUUAAACAUUUUUCUUAAACUUGCAAUACUAUUAACUUAUCGACAAAGUUCCUUUGUUUUCUCAUGAUCAUUCGACCAGUAGUAUCUACAGUAGUCAUAUCGUUAAUGAAUCAGCUUGUACACGGAACAUACGAUUAUCAGCUACAGAUUAUAUUUUUCCUGGAAUAGUAUCGUUUCGUUUAGAAUUCAAAGUAUAUCUAUGAAAGAUUAUUAUAGACAGAAAAACCACAUGCUGCGGUCAUCAAAAUUUCUUCU